UCCGUAGGGGGCAAUCGUUACUCGGAAUCACUGGGCGUAAAGAGCUCGUAGGUGGGUAGAUAAGUCAUACAGUAAAGCCAACAGCUCAACUGUUGUUCUCUGUAUGAUACUGUUUGCCUUGAGGACAGGAGAGGGGAGUGGAAUUCCUGGUGUAGCGGUGAAAUGCGUAGAUAUCAGGAAGAACACCGGUGGCGAAGGCGUCUCCCUGGUCUGUUCCUGACACUGAGGAGCAAAAGCUGGGGGAGAGAACGGG
rnacentral:rRNA from 1 species